rnacentral:rRNA from 1 species
GAUGAACGCUGGCGGCGUGCCUAAUACAUGCAAGUCGAGCGAACGGACGAGAAGCUUGCGUCGCUGAUGUUAGCGGCGGACGGGUGAGUAACACGUGGAUAACCUACCUAUAAGACUGGGAUAACUUCGGGAAACCGGAGCUAAUACCGGAUAAUAUUUUGAACCGCAUGGUUCAAAAGUGAAAGACGGUGUUGCUGUCACUUAUAGAUGGAUCCGCGCUGCAUUAGCUAGUUGGUAAGGUAACGGCUUACCAAGGCAACGAUGCAUAGCCGACCUGAGAGGCUGAUCGGCCACACUGGAGCGGAGACACGGUCCAGACUCCUACGGGAGGCAGCAGUCGGGAAUCUUCCGCAAUGGUCGAAAGCCUGACGCAGCAACGCCGCGCGAGUUAUGAAGGUCUUCGGAUCGUAAAACUCUGUUAUUAGGGAAGAACAUAUGUGUAAGUAACUGUGCACAUCUUGACGGUACCUAAUCAGAAAGCCACGGCUAACUACGUG